CUUACAAAGUAAUAGUUUUUCUUUUUUUGUCGGAUGGUCCUUUUUCUGUUCUCUCCUGAAACGAAUAAAAUUCCUACAGUGUCUGAUUCCAUCGAUGUUGCUCUGUACUUGAUUUCAUAAUCUCCAGAAUUAUGUCGUCGCAAAGGAAAGUGGGAGCGGAGUAUUACCUUUGUAUGUUUUCACUUUGACAAAUCUGAGGACGCAAACCACAAUGACACCAUUUGAUGCUUGGCUGUCUCUAAAGACUUUGUCAGCAAAUGAGCCCCACAAGGAGUAUAUUGGCACCAAUUAUGAAGGACUUUGACCUGGAUUCUUCAUGCAGUCUUGUAUGGACGAAUGUCUUUGAGGAAAGCAAAAGAAGCCACCAUUGUCUUAGAAAAUUAGGUCUGAAGUCCAAGGAAGAAGUUAAGAGGUCUUAUACUUUCUAUAUUUUCGGCAAAGGAAGCUGUAUUAUUGUUUUUUAAAAAUUUUAUUGAUUGUAAUUACAAUGGCAUUGCAUGUAAAUAAGUCUCGACUCCAAGUUUUCUGCUGUGAAAAUGUUAAUAUAGAUCUUUUUCCCA